UUCAGGUAGUUUAGUGGCUAGAAUUCACUUUUUAAAGUGAAUAAGUGGGGUGUCCGGGGUUCGAACCCCGGCCCCUGCAU
rnacentral:tRNA from 1 species